AAAACAAACAGAAAAUAAAUCAAAUAUAAAACCAAAAAAUAAAUAAAAAAACAACAAAUAAAGUCCAUUGUCCAUUUACAUCCAAAUAAAUCCAAGUUUUUAGCCCAAUUACCGAAAUUAAAAAAACAAUAAUACCUAAACCCAAACUAACCCAAAUACUAAAUCCAUAUCCAAAUACAUAGCCCAAAUCAUUUACCUAAAAAAUAGCCCGAUUAUAAUGGCCCAAACGGCCCAAAUUCAAAAACCCUAGGGGUUUCUAGAUUUUUCUGGUGCAGCAGCAACAGCAGGCUUCUGCUUCUGCGUCAUAGGCAAAUUCGAACCAGAUCCCCGCGCGUGUUGCACCUCCGCGCGUGUGCGCCAGCAUGUACCUGCAAAAUACACACACAAGAGCAGCGAAAGAAAUAACAGAAACGGAGAACGGAUUGGAUUUUUAGAUUAUUAUUAUUAUUAUUAUUAUUAUUAUUAUUAUUAUUAUUUAUUUUGCAAUUUUCGGCUAUAAAAAAGCCAUUGGAAUACUGAAAACGAUGGACACAGAGGCAGAUAUUGAAAGCAAAAAAAAUAUUCAAAGGAAAAAUAGAGUUUUAAAGGUGA
rnacentral:lncRNA from 1 species